AUGGUCGACGAUGCAGGGAAGACAGAGUUCCUUGCAUUUUUCGGGCUCACAGAAGUGCCCACAAUAAAGUUUUUUGGCAACAAGAUUAUUGAAGGAGAAGAGUUGUCUGACGAACAGCUCAUUCGCUGUUUCCUGAUUGUUGCCCUGUCAACCGUGUUGUGCCCAACUUCAAACACUAAACCAAGCACCAAGUAUAUGGGAUCACUAAUAGAUGUCAGUAAAAUUAGAAACCUAAAUUGGUGCAAGUUCACUCACAUGUGGCUGUUGCAAGCUAUUAGGAAGUAUCAAAAAGAGAAGACGAAGCAAAACCGCUUGACAUUGACACUAGGAGGCUGCAUAUACCAACUAGCGGUACAUUUUCUUUUCUUUUUCUAUUUUAUAGUUUUUGUGUCUUCCUUUUUCCUUUAUUUUCCUUUUUUUCAUCAAAACAAGUUGACAUCUGUUAUUCUUUUUUUUUCUUUUCCCAAGGUCCGCUUCCUUGACUUCACAGACUUUGGAGCAAUACAAGUACCAUCAAUCAUGCCAACGAUAUGUGUAUGGAAAGGCAGUCUUGUCAAAAAUUUCAGUGAUAUGCUCAUAGACCAAAAUGGCAUGUACAGACCAAGUAAAGUAAGUUUUUCUCAUCUAUACUUAUUUCUAUCUUUGUUUGUAUUCUCUGUUUCUAAUGUAACAACAGAGAACAGAAUAGCAGAUAUUCUGUUGGGCCAGGGUCAAUUUAAGAGAACUUUAAUUUCUUUUACUUUGGUCUUUUUUUACACAUGUAGAUAA
rnacentral:rRNA from 1 species